rnacentral:rRNA from 1 species
CCUACGGGAGGCAGCAGUGGGGAAUAUUGGACAAUGGGCGCAAGCCUGAUCCAGCAAUGCCGCGUGAGUGAUGAAGGCCUUAGGGUCGUAAAGCUCUUUUACCAGGGAUGAUAAUGACAGUACCUGGAGAAUAAGCUCCGGCUAACUCCGUGCCAGCAGCCGCGGUAAUACGGAGGGAGCUAGCGUUGUUCGGAAUUACUGGGCGUAAAGCGUACGUAGGCGGUUAUUCAAGUCAGAGGUGAAAGCCCGGGGCUCAACCCCGGAACGGCCUUUGAAACUAGGUAGCUAGAAUCUUGGAGAGGUCAGUGGAAUUCCGAGUGUAGAGGUGAAAUUCGUAGAUAUUCGGAAGAACACCAGUGGCGAAGGCGACUGACUGGACAAGUAUUGACGCUGAGUACGAAAGCGUGGGGAGCAAACAGGAUUAGAUACCCUGGUAGUCCACGCCGUAAACGAUGAUAACUAGCUGUUCGGGCACUUGGUGCUUGAGUGGCGCAGCUAACGCAUUAAGUAUCCGCCUGGGAGUACGGUCGCAAGAUUAAAACUCAAAGGAAUUGAACGG